rnacentral:rRNA from 1 species
AGUCGAACGGCAGCAUAGAGAGCUUGCUCUCUGAUGGCGAGUGGCGAACGGGUGAGUAAUAUAUCGGAACGUGCCCAGUAAUGGGGAAUAACUAGCCGAAAGGUUAGCUAAUACCGCAUACGACCUACGGGUGAAAGCAGGGGAUCUUAGGACCUUGCGUUAUUGGAGCGGCCGAUAUCUGAUUAGCUUGUUGGUGGGGUAAAAGCCUACCAAGGCUACGAUCAGUAGCUGGUCUGAGAGGACGAUCAGCCACACUGGAACUGAGACACGGUCCAGACUCCUACGGGAGGCAGCAGUGGGGAAUUUUGGACAAUGGGGGCAACCCUGAUCCAGCCAUCCCGCGUGAGUGAAGAAGGCCUUCGGGUUGUAAAGCUCUUUCGAAAGUGAAGAAAACUUAUUUCGUAAUAUGUUAUAAGUAUGACGGUAACUUUAGAAGAAGCACCGGCUAACUACGUGCCAGCAGCCGCGGUAAUACGUAGGGUGCGAGCGUUAAUCGGAAUUACUGGGCGUAAAGCGUGCGCAGGCGGUUUUGUAAGUCAGAUGUGAAAUCCCCGAGCUUAACUUGGGAACUGCGUUUGAAACUACAAGACUAGAGUGUGUCAGAGGGGGGUAGAAUUCCACGUGUAGCAGUGAAAUGCGUAGAGAUGUGGAGGAAUACCAAUGGCGAAGGCAGCCCCCUGGGAUAACACUGACGCUCAUGCACGAAAGCGUGGGGAGCGAACAGGAUUAGAUACCCU